UAGCGGAGCCAAGGGAGUUUCUUCUGAUGGCGGGAGCGGCGGACGGGUGAGUAAAGUCUAGGGAUCUGCCCAGUCUAGGGGGAUUCAGUUGGAAACGACUGCUAAUACCGCAUACGCCCCAUACGGGAAAGGAGGGGACCUUCGGGCCUUCCCCGAUUGGAUGAACCUAGGUGGGAUUAGCUAGUUGGGGAGGUAAUGGGUCACCCAGGCGACAAUCCCUAGCUGUUCUGAGAGAAUGUGCACCCCCACUGUGACUGAGACACGGGCCAAACUCCUACGGGAGGGGCCGCUGGGGAAUAUUGUGCAAUGUGGGAAACCCUGAUGCAGCCCUGUCGCGCGUGUGAAGAAAGCCUUCGGGUUGUAAAGAACUUUCACUAGGGAGGAAAGGGAGAGUAUUAAUACACUGUUGCUGUGACGUUACCUACAGAAGAAGGACCGGCUCUCUCCGUGCCAGCAGCCGCGGUAAUACAGAGAGUCCCAGCGCUAAUCUGAAUAACUGGGCGCAAAGAGCGCGCACGCGGUUUGUUAAGCGAGAUGUGAAAACCCCGGGCUCUACCUGGGAAUUGCAUUUCGAACUGUCGAACUAGAGUCUCGUAUAGAGGGGUAGAAUUCCAGGUGUAGCGGUGAAAUGCGUAGAGAUCUGGAGGAAUACCGGUGGUCGAAAGCGGCUCCCUGGACAAAGACUGACGCUCUGACGCGCAAGAGUGUGGAGCGACACGAUUAUAUACACUCUAGUCCACGCCGUAAACGAUGUCUACUCGGAGUUUGGUGUCUUGAACACUGGGCUCUCAAGCUAACGCAUUAAGUAGACCGCCUGGGGAGUACGGCCGCAAGGUUAAAACUCAAAUGAAUUGACGGGGGCCCGCACAAGCGGUGGAGCAUGUGGUUUAAUUCGAUGCAACGCGAAGAACCUUACCUACUCUUGACAUCCACAGAAUUCGCUAGAGAUAGCUUAGUGCCUUCGGGAACCGUGAGACAGGUGCUGCAUGGCUGUCGUCAGCUCGUGUUGUGAAAUGUUGGGUUAAGUCCCGCAACGAGCGCAACCCCUAUCCUUAUUUGCCAGCACGUAAUGGUGGGAACUCUAGGGAGACUGCCGGUGAUAAACCGGAGGAAGGUGGGGACGACGUCAAGUCAUCAUGGCCCUUACGAGUAGGGCUACACACGUGCUACAAUGGCGAGUACAGAGGGUUGCAAAGCCGCGAGGUGGAGCUAAUCUCACAAAGCUCGUCGUAGUCCGGAUUGGAGUCUGCAACUCGACUCCAUGAAGUCGGAAUCGCUAGUAAUCGUGGAUCAGAAUGCCACGGUGAAUACGUUCCCGGGCCUUGUACACACCGCCCGUCACACCAUGGGAGUGGGCUGCAAAAGAAGUGGGUAGCUUAACCUUCGGGGGGGCGCUCACCACUUUGUGGUUCAUGACUGGGGUGAAGUC
rnacentral:rRNA from 1 species